UACGAAGGGGGCUAGCGUUGCUCGGAAUGACUGGGCGUAAAGGGCGCGUAGGCGGUUCGUACAGUCAGACGUGAAAUUCCCGGGCUCAACCUGGGGGCUGCGUUUGAUACGUGCGGGCUUGAGUUCGGAAGAGGGUCGUGGAAUUCCCAGUGUAGAGGUGAAAUUCGUAGAUAUUGGGAAGAACACCGGUGGCGAAGGCGGCGACCUGGACCGGUAUUGACGCUGAGGCGCGAAAGCUAGGGGAGCAAACGGG
rnacentral:rRNA from 1 species